AAGGUUGUUCAUCAACUUUCGCUUCGAAGCGUGUGUAACUCCAGCGGCAGAUAUGGACAAAAUAUGAACUACAAAUGCAAAUGAGAACGCUAUCCCUACCAUGCGUUUAUCGUAUCAGUGUAUAAGAUUGUAUCCGUCUUGCAGUGAUCCGUGAAAGAUAUAAUGUCGGUAUGCAUUUGUUUCACGACAAAUUAUUAAGCAUAAUCGUUCGUGCUCGCAGACACGCGCGCAAAUGUUCACCUAUCCUUCUUGUAUUCUCGCGUAAAAAUCGAUGAUGAAUCGACCCAUUCGACGAUAUAUCGGACUCAUCCGAUCGCAGAUGUAUCUAUCCUUCGAUGAUUCAGAUUUGAGAAGAAAAGAAGAAGAAAAUAAGAGAAAAAGAAGAAAAGAAAGACAAUGCGUGCUCGCACGUGACAACGAUGGAACUCCGAACGAGAGGUUGACAAAUUGAAUAUCGUUUGAUGAUUCCUCGAUGAUCCCUAGAAAAGAAGAAGUUAAGAUGAAGAAGAGAAAGAGAAGAAAUAUGAGAUGAAAAAAAGAGCAAGAGAAAGAAAAGAAAGGAAACCCAAAGAAAGAAAAGAAAAAAGAACGAGGUGGACAUAUUGAAUAUCCACUCGAACAAAAUCGAAAUACAAAAAUAGGGUUCGAUUUUUAUUUGAGCCAUGAAGGAGACCCAUCCAAAGAUCCAUGAAGAGCCUUUCCCAAGAGUUGCAGCCGAGAGCUCUAUAUGAUGCUGAAACAGAAACCCGCAUAAAGGCCCACACCCAUGGGCCCUAACCAUGGGUUCCACCCUAGACUUAUAACUAAUAAUUAAUAAAAGUAAAUAAGAAUAAAUAGAAAUGACAGCGAACAUAAAUGCUAUAGAAAAGUUUUCUGUGCGUUUCUCUAAGAUAUUAUUUUAGCAUUCUAAUAUAUCUGAUUCAUUUAUUUAUCGAAGUAUGAUUAACAAUGUAAAUGUUUAAUUAAAUUUAGAAUGAGAAGA